CAGUGAAGGAAACCCAUAGCCAUGCCAAUUUAGAAUUGAUUGAUCAAUUUGUGUCUAAAGCAUGUGUUUUAAAGAAAGGUGGUUACUUAAUUAGGACCGUUGCUUAUGCACAGAAAGUCUUCUAUCAAUCUUGCACUUAACUGGCCAAUCAGAUUGAUGAAAUUCUAUUUUGGAGUGCUUCAUAUUAGGUUCACAACAUUUGCACUGCACCAUG
rnacentral:lncRNA from 1 species